rnacentral:rRNA from 1 species
GAUGAACGCUGGCGGCGUGCCUAAUACAUGCAAGUCGAGCGAACAGACGAGGAGCUUGCUCCUCUGACGUUAGCGGCGGACGGGUGAGUAACACGUGGAUAACCUACCUAUAAGACUGGGAUAACUUCGGGAAACCGGAGCUAAUACCGGAUAAUAUAUUGAACCGCAUGGUUCAAUAGUGAAAGACGGUUUUGCUGUCACGUAUCGAUGGAUCCGCGCCGCAUUAGCUAGUUGGUAAGGUCACGGCUUACCAAGGCAACGAUGCGUAACCGACGUGAGAGGGUGAUCGCCCACACUGGAACUGAGACACGGUCCAGACUCCUACGGGAGGCAGCAGUAGGGAAUCUUCCGCAAUGGGCGAAAGCCUGACGGAGCAACGCCGCGUGAGUGAUGAAGGUCUUCGGAUCGUAAAACUCUGUUAUUAGGGAAGAACAAAUGUGUAAGUAGCUAUGCACGUCUUGACGGUACCUAAUCAGAAAGCCACGGCUAACUACGUG